rnacentral:rRNA from 1 species
GAUGAACGCUGGCGGCGUGCCUAAUACAUGCAAGUCGAGCGAACGGACGAGAAGCUUGCUUCUCUGAUGUUAGCGGCGGACGGGUGAGUAACACGUGGAUAACCUACCUAUAAGACUGGGAUAACUUCGGGAAACCGGAGCUAAUACCGGAUGAUAUUUUGAACCGCAUGGUUCAAAAGUGAAAGACGGUCUUGCUGUCACUUAUAGAUGGAUCCGCGCUGCAUUAGCUAGUUGGUAAGGUAACGGCUUACCAAGGCAACGAUGCAUAGCCGACCUGAGAGGGUGGUCGGCCACACUGGAACUGAGACACGGUCCAGACUCCUACGGGAGGCAGCAGUAGGGAAUCUUCCGCAAUGGGCGAAAGCCUGACGGAGCAACGCCGCGUGAGUGAUGAAGGUCUUCGGAUCGUAAAACUCUGUUAUUAGGGAAGAACAUAUGUGUAAGUAGCUGUGCACAUCUUGACGGUACCUAAUCAGAAAGCCACGGCUAACUACGUG